AGAGUUGAUCAUGGCUCAGGACGAACGCUGGCGGCGUGCUUAACACAUGCAAGUCGAGCGAUGAAGCUCCUUCGGGAGUGGAUUAGCGGCGGACGGGUGAGUAACACGUGGGCAACCUGCCUUGUAGAGAGGAAUAGCCAUUCGAAAGGAUGAUUAAUACCUCAUAAUAUUGUAGCUUCGCAUGAAGCAACAACCAAAGGAGCAAUCCACUACAAGAUGGGCCCGCGGCGCAUUAGCUAGUUGGUGGGGUAACGGCUCACCAAGGCGACGAUGCGUAGCCGACCUGAGAGGGUGAUCGGCCACAUUGGGACUGAGACACGGCCCAGACUCCUACGGGAGGCAGCAGUGGGGAAUAUUGCACAAUGGGGGAAACCCUGAUGCAGCCAACGCCGCGUGAGUGAUGACGGUCUUCGGAUUGUAAAGCUCUGUCUUCAGGGACGAUAAUGACGGUACCUGAGGAGGAAGCCACGGCUAACUACGUGCCAGCAGCGGC
rnacentral:rRNA from 1 species